rnacentral:rRNA from 1 species
UACGUAGGGUGCAAGCGUUGUCCGGAAUUAUUGGGCGUAAAGAGCUCGUAGGCGGUCUGUCGCGUCUGCUGUGAAAACUCAGGGCUUAACCCUGAGCUUGCAGUGGGUACGGGCAGACUAGAGUGCGGUAGGGGAGACUGGAAUUCCUGGUGUAGCGGUGAAAUGCGCAGAUAUCAGGGAGGGAACACCCGGUGGGCGAAGGCGGGUCUCUGGGCCGUAACUGACGCUGGAGGA